GGGCGGUUAGCACAGUGGUAGUGCGCCCGGUUUGCAUCCGGGCUGCGGGAGUCCGAUUCUCCCACGGUCCA
rnacentral:tRNA from 1 species